CAUGUGUAAGUUUACAUACUGAACUUUGAAACUGCGAAUGGCUCAUUAUAUCAGUUAUAGUUUAUUUGGUAGUCUCUUACUACUUGGAUAACCGUAGUAAUUCUAGAGCUAAUACAUGCGUCAACACCCGACUUUUGGAAGGGUGGUAUUUAUUAGAUUGAAACCAACUCGCUUCGGCGGUGUAAUGGUGAUUCAUAAUAACUUUGCGAAUCGCAUGGCUUCGGCUGGCGAUGGACCAUUCAAGUUUCUGCCCUAUCAGCUUUGACGGUAGUGUAUUGGACUACCGUGGCUUUAACGGGUAACGGAGGAUUAGGGUUUGAUUCCGGAGAGGGAGCCUGAGAGACGGCUACCACAUCCAAGGAAGG
rnacentral:rRNA from 1 species